AUUGAACGCUGGAGGCAGGCCUAACACAUGCAAGUCGAACGAGUGGCGGACGGGUGAGUAAUGUCUGGGCAACUGCCUGAUGGAGGGGGAUAACUACUGGAAACGGUAGCUAAUACCGCAUACCAUCAGAUGUGCCCAGAUGGGUUUAGCUAGUGGGUGGGGUAACGGCUCACCAAGGCGACGAUCCCUAGCUGGGCUGAGAGGAUGACCAGCCGAACUGGAUCUGAGACAAGGCCCACACGCCUACCGGAGGCAGCAGUGGGGAAUAUGGCACAAUGGGCGCAAGGCGGAUGCAGCCAUGCCGCGGGGAUGAAGAAGGCCUUGGGGUUGUAAAGUACUGUAAGCUGGGAGGCGUUACCCGCAGAAGAAGCACCGGCUAACUCCGUGCCAGCAGCCGCGGUAAUAC
rnacentral:rRNA from 1 species